GGAAAACAAAAUCCCACUGAAGGUGACAUUACGUUAUGUAUUUUUUUAAAUAUAACAUGGUGCAUGAAUAAAACAUCAUUUCCUUUUCUUGUUCAGGUAAUUCAGGAUAUAAUUUGGUUAAAAUGCACUAGAAAUUAACAAUUAAGGGGAGCUAACUCCAUAAUUUGCUAUUAUUCAAACUAAAAGUUAUCUAGAGAUUUCUCCAAUUACCAGAUACCUAGAAACAAAAGAUCUACCAUUUCUAAUUCAGUAUAAGGGUAACAUUAAUAUAGAAUGGUUAGGUUGGUUGGUUUAUUUUAUCAUGUUUUAAUGUUUUGAUUUUUUUCAAACUUGCCUGAUUCUUACGAAGACUAGUGGCACUCAAAUUGGUUGUGUGCAACAUUCCUAUCUUCCUAUUAUGGAAUCAGUAUUAAGUUAUAUAACAUCUACCCUUU
rnacentral:lncRNA from 1 species